AGAAUCAACGCUGGCGGCGUGCCUAACACAUGCAAGUCGCACGAGAAAGUGGAGCAAUCCACGAGUAAAGUGGCGCACGGGUGAGUAACACGUGAAUAAUCUACCUCCGAGUGGGGAAUAACUGAGAGAAAUCUUAGCUAAUACCGCAUAAUACCCACGGGUCAAAGCAGCAAUGCGCUUGGAGAGGAGUUCGCGGCCGAUUAGCUAGUUGGCGGGGUAAUGGCCACCAAGGCGAUGAUCGGUAUCCGGCCUGAGAGGGCGCACGGACACACUGGAACUGAAACACGGUCCAGACUCCUACGGGAGGCAGCAGUGGGGAAUUUUUGCGCAAUGGGGGAAACCCUGACGCAGCAACGCGCGUGGAGGAUGAAAUCCUUGGGAUGUAAACUCCUUUCGAUAGGGAAGAUAAUGACGGUACCUAUAGAAGAAGCCCGGCUAACUUCGUGCCAGCAGCCGC
rnacentral:rRNA from 1 species